ACUUUUCCAAUGCUCUUUCAUCCUGCGUUGAGGAGGUAUAAAUCGUCUGCACAGCCUAGAAAAGCUUCUGAUCCCCUAGUAGCAGCUGCUAAGAGUGUGUGGCUUUGGACUAGUCUCUUGGCUGGAGGACCUCCCCUUACGAAGGGUGAAUCACUACAACUUGCUAAUAAUGACAUCCGAUCCUCUUCUGACUCCAUACAAAGUACAGUCCAUAAUGCCUUUCAGAUACCGCAGUAUCUGGAAUCCUAUUCAGAAGUUCAUACAGGAAAUCAGAAAUUUCCUGGUACAGGAAAACUUGAUUCAGACAUCAUUGGAAGACGAUGGGAAAAUCAAUAAACCAAUGGACCCAAGGUCAAGGAAUCCAGCUCCAGUUGGCCUUCAAGAAUUAUGGCUAUAAAGUUCUUCCGACCUGGGCAUAUACCAUAGUGUUCCCCAAGUGGUUUCUACUACAAAUUUUUGCCCAUAUGUUCCCCCGGUGCAUCUACACCAAAUUUUACCCAUACUGUUCCCCAAGUGGUUCUACUCCUAAUUUUUACUUGUGCAAUCCUAUUCAAAUGCGGGCAAGAAAUGUACUACCACCAGAAUCAUCACAAUCCACAUUCCCAGGCAUUAAGAUCAAAUUCUUUUCCUUUGCAGCCUCCUUUUGCACCAAGAGUUCAGUUUCCCCAAUUCCCAAACUUUUGGCAACUUCAGUAGUGCCAACUAGAACCUGUGGGCCGCAGCCUUUCUGCAGCACCACUUACGAAGGUGCAGAAUGUGUGGGAAUAUUUAUCCUAAUAACUCUCAGGAUCCACAACCCCCGUUAGACUUUGAACGGGGACCUGACACGGAGUCUUGCAGUAUUUCUUCAAAUCCUAUUAUUAAGUCGAUUGAUGAACCACAUGGGCACAUGAUACAGAAUGCACAACAUUUGUAUAGUGGCCAUUCACAUGGUCCAAAACACCAACCUACAUCAGCACUGUGGUAUAAUGAUCCUUCCUGGUAAUGUUAUGUGGGGAUCUCCAGGAUUUUUCCUCCUCUGACUACAUCCAAGGUCUUAUAGGGGUUGUUUUACUUGCCUUGAACACACUAAAAACUGAAAAAAUUAUGCCAACUGAGUCAAAUAUAACGGAUUGUAUUCGAUGUGGAGAUCCCAAGCAUCGCAGUACAGAUGUCAAGAAGGCCUGGAGAGUGCAGUUGAGGCAGCAGAUGGUGUGAAAGCAAAAAGUAGGUGCUUUGGCGGUUGUUUGUUGGUAGAAUGAUAAAGUUUGGAAGUGUGUAAAUCCUAUAGGUGGUAAUCCUAAUAAGCACUCAAAAGAGACAUGGAAUGAAAUUAAAAAAUUUCUAUCUACUUCUUCGGGAAUAUUCAUAAUGAGUACGCAGUGCAAGUACGAAGCAGGUAUUGUGAUUAAGAAUAUGUGCUUGAAAAAUCAUGCUUUGGGUGAUGUCCUACAAA